rnacentral:lncRNA from 1 species
UAUGCCCCUCGAAUGCCCCUCAAAGUCUCAGGUUUUGAGUCUGGCAGUUUUGUUGAGAAGUAGAUGGAUAAGAAGGAUACCAACCACACCAACAGACCAUUCUACUGAUGACUUCAUCAUUGAGUGUGUUUUUGGGAGAAGUAGCUGUCAGUGAAAACAGAAAAUAUUAUGUGCGCUGGUGAGAAACGGCAACCCCACGAAGUGAGAACAGAGCAGUGAUGUCAGCAGUCCUACGCUGGUUGUAGGCAGAACAAUAAGAAAAGAGUGAAGAAACGGUAAUGAUUGGAGACAGGGAGAACCCUGUGCAGCCAGACACUGCACAGAGCUCACUCGAGAAAAGCACUUGAACAGGCAAAAUCACUCAAGACGAUAACCAGCAGAGGAUCU